CAGCACGAUGGGAUCAAUGCUGGUGAACUUGGUCUCCUCCCUGUACAAAUACUCUAUGGAGCACUUCAGCAGCAGGAUCUUUGGGUUCUUGAUGUGAGCGUUCAUCUUUACACAGUGACAGUGAGGAAAAGUUGCGGACGUCAGGCCUCACCGUCUGAACCACCUGUCGAACCACAGGCACGAUGAUGUCCCGCCAGGACAGAGACAGAGACUCACUGUAGAGCAGCUGCUGCAGCAGUGCCAUCAUGUGGCUGUGGUUGGCAGAGCUGAUGGACGUACAAUCAUAUUUAAGCUGGUCCAAAGAGCUGUGGUGCCAACCCAGAGGAGUGAACAGCAUCUCUUUGGCCUUUUCUUCCACACGUCGGUUAAACAAAGACUCUAAAAAAAAAUAGUAACACCCAAAAGAGGAAGAAGUCCUUUAGCAACAAGGUUGAUGGACGCGGCUGAAUCGCUGUCCACCACCGACUGGAAGCUGCUGACGGACGUCCUCUUGCUGGGGCUGGCAGAGUCUAGGCAGACAGACAGGAGUUUGACUUAAACCACUGCAGCGCGACUGUGUGAAAG